UACGUAGGGGCCAAGCGUUGUCCGGAUUUAUUGGGCGUAAAGAGCGUGUAGGCGGCCAGAUAGGUCGGUUGUGAAAACUGGAGGCUUAACCUUCAGACGUCGACCGAAACCAUCUGGCUAGAGUCCGGAAGAGGAGAAUGGAAUUCCUGGUGUAGCGGUGAAAUGCGCAGAUAUCAGGAGGAACACCGGUGGCGAAGGCGGUGGUCUGGGCCGGCACUGACGCUGAGGAGCGAAAGCGUGGGUAGCAAACAGG
rnacentral:rRNA from 1 species